UAAUGUAUGGGGAUCUGCCCGAUAGAGGGGGAUAACUACUGGAAACGGUGGCUAAUACCGCAUAAUGUCUACGGACCAAAGCAGGGGCUCUUCGGACCUUGCACUAUCGAAUGAACCCAUAUGGGAUUAGCUAGUAGGUGGGGUAAAGGCUCACCUAGGCGACGAUCUCUAGCUGGUCUGAGAGGAUGAUCAGCCACACUGGGACUGAGACACGGCCCAG
rnacentral:rRNA from 1 species